rnacentral:rRNA from 1 species
UGCCAGACUCCUACGGGAGGCAGCAGUGGGGAAUAUUGCACAAUGGGGGAAACCCUGAUGCAGCAACGCCGCGUGGGUGAAGGAGCGUUUCGGCGCGUAAAGCCCUGUCAGCGGGGAAGAAGAAAGACGGUACCCGACCAAGAAGCCCCGGCUAACUACGUGCCAGCAGCCGCGGUAAUACGUAGGGGGCGAGCGUUAUCCGGAAUUACUGGGUGUAAAGGGAGCGUAGACGGCGAGGUAAGCCUGAAGUGGAAGCCCGCGGCCCAACCGCGGAACUGCUUUGGGAACUGUUUUGCUGGAGUAUGGGAGGGGUAAGCGGAAUUCCUGGUGUAGCGGUGAAAUGCGUAGAUAUCAGGAGGAACACCGGUGGCGAAGGCGGAUUGCUGGACAGUAACUGACGCUGAGGCGCGAAAGCGUGGGGAGCAAACAGGAUUAGAUACCCUAGUAUGA